GGUGCCUGGAUUCUAGUAGAAAAUGACAGGUUUCCCUUUGCAGGUGAGCAGCACUCUAACCUGCAAGGGGUCCUGCUUGAGGGGUACUGGGAGUGAGACACAGGGGGUGUCGCGUGCCUGUGCAUGGCCACUUGCAUGAACAUGGCCUGGAACACUUACCCUGCAGACUUUAAUCGGUCAACCAUCAAGGAAAAAUGCUUUGAAGCUAUACAAUUAAACAAUAUAAAGCAAGACAGAACUGCCAGCAAGGUUUGCAGUCCAGGAAAGAUCAAAAAGCCUACUGCACCCAGCCCACGAGUAAAGGCUGGAAGACUGGAUUAUUUUCCCUGUCUGCAUUGGUGAGAAAACAGUGUUACAGCUAAGAUAAUACAAGGACUAACAGCUCAUUUUAUAUUGAGAAAGAGUCUUUUUCUGUCAUUUAGUUUUGUAGUUUGUUGGUUGUUAUUAAAGCAAGCCUUUCUGCUAUUCAUCAA